UGUCGAUGGCCAAGGUGCUAAUGCGGGAUUUUGCGUACCAGUCAAUUGCGACACUAAUGACAAAAAUCGCAGUUGUGCUACCUGUCACAUUGCCUCGCCACGCAAGACACUUAGUUUCAAGAGCUUAGCAGAAUGUAAGGCUGGGUGCAAGGCAUAAGUUAACUCGAGGCGUGCAAAUAGCACUGAAUAAACGUUUUAUUUAACACGUAAUUUAUCUGCUUCCGAUUUUAACUACAAUACAGAAUCUUAUUUUGAGUCCAAUAAAUCAAAUUUAUGCCUAUUGUAUAUGUGUUUAGAGAUUUCCAUAUUCUACGUAAUACAAAAUAGUUUAACCUAUUUCUCUCCUUUUGUUUUGUUUGACUAUUAAUAUUUUUUUAAGAAAAUAUAUCUUCUGUAUAAUUACUAAGAAUAAGUUUUUUAAACUGAAUAGUUUGUAAUAAUGGUAAAUGGUAAGUUUUUUUUUUCUAUUUCCUUCUACGCCAUAUAACUACUACUUGUGAGUAAGGAAAAAACAUAGAUCAAAGAGUAAACAUAGAGAUUUUCUUAUUAGUCUUCACAAUCACUUAAAACAAUAAUAAAAACUUAUAUUACUCUUUUAUCUUAGACUUUUUGUUAUCUUGUUUAAUAGGAAGACAAUGAAAAUAGAACAAAAAGAGAAAGACUCAUUAGCAUAAACGCUCUAAGUAUUGCUACAAAAUUACGUAAAGGACUUUACAUAACCAAAUAUAAACAGAGUAGGUACAUCAGAUUUCAAAGACAAGAACUAACAAAAGCAACGAGAUGGUUCUGCAAAGUGACAAUGCUAACACAGGAACCAAACUUGGUCUCGCCGGUCUUGGCUACUCUUUGAUGGAUAUGUAACAUCCCGAUUUUUGGGGAUGCAAUCAUUAAAAGAAAUAAACCUGGUAAGUUGUCUGAAGCUAAUAUGGAGGAUUCUCUCUUCUAAUUUGGUAUGGGUUAAUUGGAUAAAUAUAUACCUUAUUAGAAAAGGUUCACUAUGGACGGGUAAGGAGAACAUUCAAUUAGGUUCUUGGAUGUGGAAAAAAAUUCUCAUGUGUAGAGAUAUUGGUAAGAGCUUGUACCGAGUAGAUAUAAGAAAUGGUAGGAAAACAUCUUUCUUGCAUGAAGCUUGGUCGCCACUGGGUUGUCUUCAGGAUAUGCUGAGGGAAGGAAACUAUAUUGAUAUGGGAAUUCCUAUAAAUGCAACCGUUGAUGUGAGUAGGAAGCAAAGAAGACAGCAUCAUCGAAUUCAUAUCUUGAAUAAUGUAGAAGAUGAGAUUGCGAGGUAUAAGGCAAACUUUGUUAAUGAAGAAGAUGUUUCCUUAUGGAAGAAUGGGACAUGACAAUACAAAAUGAACUUCUCAACGAGUGAAACAUGGAAGGUGAUUAGAAAAGAGUAUAUUGCUUGAAAUUGGUACAAAGAGAUUUGGUUCAAGUAUGUCACAUCGAAGCACUCUUUCAUUACUUGGGUUGCAAUGAAGGGGAGGCCUGCAACAGGAGAUCGCAUGAGGCAUUGGAGUGGGUUGGUGGACAGAUCUUGUGUCUUAUGCAAUGAUCCUUUGGAAACAAUGGAGCAUUUAUUUUUUGAGUGUGAGUAUUCUGCUCAAAUUUGGAAACAGAUGAUGGAAGGGGUGUUGCUACACAAGUAUACAAAUCAAUGGGAGAGGAUAAUGAGGAUCAUGAUAAGGCCGCAGGGGAGUAAAGUGAAGUCUUUUGUUAUUAAGUACAUGUUUCAACUUGCUAUUCACACAAUCUGGAGGGAAAGAAAUCGAAGGCGGCAUGGGGAGAGCCCCUCUCCUGUGAAUAUUUUGGCAAGUUUGAUAGACAAGGGGAUGAGAAACAAGCUCACUAUCAUUCAGAGGAGAAAGGAUAAAGAUUUGGAGGGAGGGAUGAUCUAUUGGUUUAGUACCAGAAUUUGAAGUUUGUUUUUUUAUCAUUGGUUUUGAGCGUUUCGAUUUACUUUGGGAGUUAGUAAUAGUAGAAGGAGAUAGGGUUUUCAUUUAGACAGGUAACACUUGAUGUAACAAGGUUAUUUCUUCUUUGAAUUCAGUUUAACAUUCAAUUCAAAAAAAAAUUAAAAUAGAUAUUUCGAACAACAAAUACUAUUAUCAGAAUUUUUUAAUUUACCAAUAAACAAUGAUAUCAUUAAAAAAAUUUAUAGUCAUAUUGUUUGUUGUUUUUGAUUAAAAUAAGAAUGAUAUAAUGGUACAUGAUUUAUUUAUAAAAUCAUUUAGAAAUAAAACAUACCUUGAGGGAGAGCCCCUCUCCUGUGAAUAUUUUGGCAAGUUUGAUAGACAAGGGGAUGAGAAACAAGCUCACUAUCAUUCAGAGGAGAAAGGAUAAAGAUUUGGAGGGAGGGAUGAUCUAUUGGCUUAGUACCAGAAUUUGAAGUUUGUUUUUUUUAUCAUUGGUUUUGAGCUUUUCUAUUUUACUUUGGGAGUUAGUUAUAGUAGAAGGAGAUAGGGUUUUCAUUUUUUUUUUUUUGUCACCUGUCACAUUGCCUCGCCACGCAAGACACUUAGUUUCAAGAGCUUAGCAGAAUGUAAUGCUGGGUGCAAGGCAUAAGUUAACUCGAGGCGUGCAAAUAGCACUGAAUAAACGUUUUAUUUAACACGUAAUUUAUCUGCUUCCGAUUUUAACUACAAUACAGAAUCUUAUUUUGAGUCCAAUAAAUCAAAUUUAUGCCUAUUGUAUAUGUGUUUAGAGAUUUCCAUAUUCUACGUAAUACAAAAUAGUUUAACCUAUUUCUCUCCUUUUGUUUUGUUUGACUAUUAAUAUUUUUUUAAGAAAAUAUAUCUUCUGUAUAAUUACUAAGAAUAAGUUUUUUAAACUGAAUAGUUUGUAAUAAUGGUAAAUGGUAAGUUUUUUUUCUAUUUCCUUAUACGCCAUAUACUACUUGUGAGUUAGGAAAAAACAUAGAUCAAAGAGUAAACGUAGAGAUUUUCUUAUUAGUCUUCACAAUCACUUAAAACAAUAAUAAAAACUUAUAUUACUCUUUUAUCUUAGACUUUUUGUUAUCUUGUUUAAUAGGAAGACAAUGAAAAUAGAACAAAAAGAGAAAGACUCAUUAGCAUAAACGCUCUAAGUAUUGCUACAAAUUUACGUAAAGGACUUUACAUAACCAAAUAUAAACAGAGUAGGUACAUCAGAUUUCAAAGACAAGAACUAACAAAAGCAACGAGAUGGUUCUGCAAAGUGACAAUGCUAACACAGGAACCAAACUUGGUCUCGCCGGUCUUGGCUACUCUUUGAUGGAUAUGUAACAUCCCGAUUUUUGGUAUAUGCGAAAAGGAUUAAAAUAAUUGAUUUGGUUACUUAUGUUACCAAAGUUGACUUAUCUUUAUGGUUAUACAUUCGUUUAAAACUCCAUGGUUAGGCAACCAAACUGAUUGUACAAGACGCCAAUGGAGGUUGAAUAUCCGAAGUGUCUUCAAAUACAAGAAACUGAUGUUACAUGGACGUGGCAUGCACGGCUAGGACAUGUGAACUUUGGAGUCAUGAAGAAUAUGGUAGACAAGGAGAUCGUAGUAGGGAUGCCUCAGGUGAUACACGAGAAAGAUGUGUGCAGCGCCUACUUAGUUGGGAAGCAAACUCGAAAUUCUUUCCCGCCUAAAGCAAAGUAUCGAGCAUCACACGCAUUGGAGUUGGUACAUGGUGACUUGUGCGGCCCGAUAUCACCAUCAACACCAGCGAACAAUAUAUAUGUAUUCGUCUUAAUUGAUGAUUACUCAAGAUAUAUGUGGACGAUGCUGCUAAGAGAGAAGAGUGAAGCGUUAAAUCGGUUCAAAAAGUUCAAGGAGUACGUGGAGAAUCAAACGAAGCUAAAACUCAAGAUUUUUCGCACCAAUAGAGGAGGAGAGUUCACAUCUUCUGAGUAUAUUCGUUUUUGUGAAGAAAACGGUGUAACUAGACAUCUCACUGCACCGUAUACACCGCAACAAAACGGUGUGGUUGAGAGAAGAAACAAAACAUUAAUGGAGAUGACUAGAACUUUGAUGAAAGCUAUGAAGAUACCUAAUCAGCUAUGGGAAGAAGCAGUACUUCAUUCAACGUAUCUCAUAAACCGCAUUGCUACAAAGGCUUUGGAAAACAAGACUCCAUACGAAGGCUUGUAUGUUAAGAAACCGAACAUUGAGCAUCUAAGGGUCUUUGGAUGUGUAGUUUUUUGCAAAAAUCAGCAAUCCUCAUCUCAAGAAGCUGGAUGAUCGAUCAAGGAUGGUGAUCAACCAAGGCACAGAGUCCGGCUCAAAAUCUUACAGGCUCUAUGAUCCGGUCGUGAAGAAGAUAGUUGUUAGUAGAGAUGUAAUCUUUGACGAGAACAAAAGUUGGGAUUGGUCCACACUAUCAACAAACGUAGACGAAGAACCAGGAUCAUUCAAGCUUUCUCAUAUUGAUGUUACAAAAGAAGGAGAUGGUGAUGAGCAUCAAAAUCACCAACACCACGAAGAGCAAAACAAUAAUGAAGAAGAAGAAGCUGUAGACGCAGGUGAACAAGAGCAAGUAGCAGAGAACAACGAUGCAAACCAAGACCAGCAUGUAACAUCAAGAUAUGGUCGUAACAUCAGAAAACCAAAGCGGUUUGAUGAUUACAUCCUACUCGCUGAAGUUGAAGGUGGCAGACUCUUGCUCACCAUCGAUGGUGAACCAGAAACUUACAUCGAAGCUGUAGUGAUACAAACUUGGAUCGAUGCAAUGAAGGUAGAAAUCAAAUCUAUCAUCGAAAACAAGAUCUGGAAGCUCGUCAAGAAGCCGGCAGGUGUGAAACCGAUAGGUUUGAAGUGGAUCUAUAAGAUCAAGAGGAAUGCAGAUGGAACGAUGAUCAAAUACAAAGCAAGGCUAGUUGCAAAAGGCUACUUGGAACAACAAGGCAUAGACGUUGACGAAGUGUUUGCACCAGUUGUUCGGAUAGAAACCAUACGACUACUCUUGGCUUUAGCAGCAACUAAUGGAUGGGAGAUCCAUCACUUAGAUGUGAAAACUGCGUUCCUGAACGGAGACUUAAAUGAGGAUGUAUACGUGACUCAACCAGAAGGCUUUGUGGAGAAAGGAAAGGAGGAUCCUGUGUACAAACUUAGCAAAGCACUAUACGGUUUGCGUCAAGCUCCGAGAGCUUGGAACAUCAAACUCGACCGUGUUCUCAAGGAGAUGGAGUUCACGAAGUGCACCAAGGAAUCUGCGGUAUAUCAAAAGAAAGAGAAGGGAGAGCUUCUGAUCAUAGCUAUAUAUGUUGAUGACUUGUUUGUAUAACAGCGUCUUCACUCAACGUUAUCAAGCAAUUCAAAGAUGAUAUGUCAAGAAGAUUUGAGAUGUCAGACCUCGGGAAGCUUACAUACUAUCUUGGUAUAGAAGUAACGCAAGGAGCUGAUGGCAUUCACAUCAAACAAGAAGGAUACGCGCAAGGUAUACUUGUCAAGACGAAGAUGUAGUCAUGUAACUAUACUCAUGUUCCGAUGCACACGAGUUUGAAGUAUCAAAGGCAGAGGAGGAGCCUGAGAUUGAUGCAACAUCGUAUCGAAGCAUCAUAGGAUGCUUAAGGUAUCUUCUUCAUACACGACCGGACUUGGCGUUUUUGGUUGGUGUAUUAAGCAAAUAUAUGCAGAGUCCAAGAGAGAGUCAUGGAGAAGCAGUGAAGCAUCUACUACGAUACAUAAAGGGCACUACAGAGUAUGGCUCUUCUUCAAACGGGAUGGAACAACGAAGAUUACAGGUUACAGUGACAACAGCCAUAACAUAGACGUUGAUGAUGGAAGAAUCACUACAGGGUUUAUGUUCUACCUAGGAACAUCGCCGAUCACGUGGACAUCAUGCAAGCAACCCACAGUGGCACUCUCUUCAUGUGAGGCGGAGUUCAUGGCAGCUACGGAAGCUGCAAAACAAACAAUAUGGUUGAAGGAGUUAAUGGCCGAGAUCAUGAACAAAGAAGACAAGAAGGUCGUGUUGAAGAUUGACAACAAGUCAGCAAUUGCCCUCACCAAGAACCCGGUGUUUCAUGGUAGAAGCAAACACAUACUCGCGAAGUACCAUUUCAUUUGAGAAUGUGUGGAGUUCGACUUUAUCGAAGUGAAGCACGUACCUGGAGUGGAGCAGAAGGCAGACAUACUCACUAAACCAUUGGCAAGGAUCAAGUUCGAAGCAAUGCGCAAGUUCAUCGGAGUUCAGAAGAUCAACAUACCUAAGAUUCAAGUUGGAAUUAAGGGGAAGAAUGUUGGAUAAUUCCAAUUAACUUGAAGAGCAAGUUAACUCAUUAAAGUGAAGUUUGAUGGGUUAAGGAAAAAAAGAAAACAUAUCGAGCUUAGGAAUGUUUUCAUAUUAUUAUUAGGAAAAGAUGUAGCUUCGCCCUUAGGAAAAGAUGUAGCUUCUUACUAUAUAAAGAGUUCUCAUGGAGAAAUGUUCCAUCAAGAGAAACACAUUGAAAGGUUUAGUUUUGAGAAAGUUUCUAAAUCUAAUAAUAAGUGCUAGUUCUUAUAAUCUUUGUGUUUGUGCAACUUUAAAGAUAACGAGAUAUGCAGAGAGAGAGUCAAAUAGCGGAUAGACCUUUAAGGUUGAAGAUUACACCUCUGAAACCACCAGGAUGCAAUCUCGUUUCGGUUCAGUAGAGUAUGUUAGUGUAUAAAGUCGUCUUGUUACUUGGUGGUAGAUUGUGUAGAUCAAGUUAACACACAGUUGUGAAAGUUCCACAGUGGAAAGUUAAAUCUACGUUAGAAGGAUCCUAAAGGAUAUCGAUCAAGGAGUAGUAGCCAAGAUCAGCGAGACCAAGUUUGGUUCCUGUGUUAGCAUUGUCACAUUUACAGAACCAUCUCGUAACUUUUGUUUUUUAAAUUCUCGUGUUUGAAAUCUAGUGUACCUAUUUUGUGUAUAUUUGGUUCUGUAAAGCCUCUUACAUAAAUUUGUAGCAAUACUGGAGAGUUUAUGUUGAUGAGUCUUUCUCUUUUUGUUCUAUUUCAUUGUCUUCCUGUCAAACAAGAUAACAAAAAAGUCUAAGAUAAAAGAGUGUUUCCAUGUCUCCAAAGCUCGGAAACAGCUGUUUUAAGAAUAGCUACUCCAUUCUCCAUUCUGGACUGCAACAGCUUCCUGAAAAUGAAUAUAAUCAGACAAAUGUUUAAUAGAUUAACUAAAACUUGUCCAAUCAUCAUAUUUUUACUUUUUCACAUAUAAAAUGGUAGAAACAUGCUGUACUUACAAACAAAAAACAGAAGUUGCAAUGUAAGAGUGGUGAAAAAAGCAUACCAAUAAUGCUGGAGAGUUUGGAAUUUACUGAUUUAUACCGUGCCAAAAGAAUGAAUCAUUGAACAUCUAUGUAGAGUCAGUUAAAACAAUGUUUGGACUUUGGAGUAACGUAUUACACUGCAACGAUUCAUUAUUCAAGCCCAAAAAUUCCAUUGAACUAAACGCAUUCAACAUCCAAAAAUACUUGACAUAGAUAUUAAAAACAACAUGAGAAAAAACUUGUCUGCUACGAGGACAUUUAAACAACAAGUAUCUUAAAAAGACGCUGGUAAGGUUUAACCAAAAACAGAGGCAUCCCAAUGAGUUUUCUUCUAGGCGACAGGGAUCAUCUCAGGAUAAUCGACGGCUGUGAGGGGAGCUUCUGGUAGAAGAGCAGCCGGAGCAGCAACCUGAGCUGGUGCGGAGUUGACAUCUUCUUCCUUGGGAGUAUGAAUGAUGACAACAUCAGGUAGUGGUGUCUUUGGUCCAAGUACACCCUUAGGGUCCCAGUCAAGCAUGACCUUGACCUUGAUUCCAAGCACACCCUGCACCAUUUGGAGUUUAAACAGACAAGUUAAACAUCUCUGGUUCACAUAGUCAGUCAACAGGAGGGAACUCAGGAAGAAGAAACUCUCACCUGUCUGAGGAGAACAUGUCUGACUGCAGAGUCGAUGUACUCCUUGGUAGGUUGACCAGAGGAAACCAUGUAACCGUCCUUGAAUUUCAUGGACUUGGCACGUGCUGCACGGAGCUUUCCACUCACAAUCACCUGAGUAAGCAUUUCAAACGAAUAACGUCUGAGAAUUUUAUGUGGAGAAGAAAUAAAAACAAUUAGAGAGUACUGGGAUUUGUCAUCACCUCACAUCCCUUAGCGCCACUCUCCAUGACGAAUCUCAAGACACCAUAGCAUGCCCUAUAUUAGCAGCACAACAUCACUCCAGUAUUAGCAGACAACUACAAAACAACUUAGAGAAUGUCUCUAUGAAGGAAAAGGACUUGACGAGUAAACUAAUCACACUCUCUCUUGCUAAUAUUUUUUUGCAGUUAAGAUAACAGACAAACAUGAGUGAGUGUACCGGUAGUUAACGAAUAAAUAGUCUGGCGCUAGGGUUUCCGAGUCUCGUGCAUGGGCUCUUCUGUUCCUUUUUUUUUAAAUUAGGCCCAUUAGUUUGAUAAAUGCUUGCUUGGGCUCAUUUAUUGAUAAUCUCGGCCUUUUAUUUUAUAAAUGGGUAAAGACUUCCUUUUUUCAAUAGCUAGAGAAAUUAUAUGUGUGAUAAAUACAGAAGGAAACACGCUAACACACAAACGUCUGAUCUCAAUGUUCUUUUGACAAUUUCUGAAGCCAAAUGUUUGUAUUAUGUAGCAGGUUCUCUUGCUUCCCAAUAAGAUAAGUUUUAGCAUCCCAAGUAUUGUUUUCUUUAAGCAUCAAUAUUGGAUUUAUCUUAAAGAAAAACUAUGAAGUAAGUGGGUUGGUAACAAGAAAACGUUUACCACUAACAAAUUAUUAAAAUUUCUUUUAAUUUAGUAAUCCAUUCGUUUCUAAUUAACAUUUUCUUUUGUUAUUUUCACAUAAUAGGUAAAUAUAAUAAAGUUUGACUAUUAAUAUAUUUGUGAAGAACAAUUUUAUUAAGUUUAAACUAAAAAUAUAUAGAUAUGAUUAUAACUAAUAAAAAAUACUUAUAAAAUUCAAAAUUUUAUUUAAAAAAAAACAUUAAUUAUUUGGAAAUAGAAAGAGUAUUUAUAUAGGUAUUUUUCUAAGACGGGAAUACAUCAUAUAGUGUUUAGAGUAAAGUUAUAUUAGGUUGUUUAUGUGAUUUUGUAUUUCACAAAUAUGUAUUGUUUUUUUUUUUUUUUUUUUUUCAAAGAUAAAACCUCUGUAACAACUAAAACGAAUGAGCAUGUAACAAAACAGAAAAAGGGUUUGUACUUUGCAACAUAAGUAUUAUGAAAAAUGACUUUGUAAAUUAUAAUUCUUUUUGUGAACAAAGCAGUGUGAUGAAAAACCAAUCAUUAACACUUCAUAAAUGGUGAAAGCAAAAAAAAAAAAAUUUUACAGAAUAAAUCUAAUGUUUUUUUUUUUUUGAAAAAGGGCUUUCAUAUUAAAAAAAACGAUAAAUGUUACAAGAUAAGACAUGAGUCUUAUAGUUUGAUAAAGUUUGCAUGAAAAGAUUGAAUCUCAACCAAUGAAACAACCAAAGUUGAGACUAGAAUAACCAACACCGUAAUGAAAGGCAAUAACUAGUGAUAAGAACCACGACCGCGGCGGCCACGCUUCCCUCUCCCUUGAACCGUCUUCCAUUCCAUGUCUUGGUAUUUGCUAGGGGGUUUUGUUUCCCUCCCACCUCUUGUCAAGCUGAGCGAGCUAGAAGGCUCGGUCCCAUCUUCAUCCACUCCCACAUCUCUUGACCCUUUGAACUGAGCAGGGCUCUCAAAUGCAAAGGGUGUAUGUGUUGUGGCUUGAGGACCAACGACUAAAGUUUCACUAACCUCAGUGUUGGUAACGGUUGAUGGAGAUGACUCCAUAAUAGAUGCUGCAGUGGGAAUAGGUUGUGAAUCUACUAAAGUGGGUAAAGUGGGGAUAAAGUUUGGCGAGGCAGUCGGGUUCUCCUGUUGAAGGGUAGGAGUAGCUUCUAGUUCAGAUAAGAGACCUUCAAUCUCUAUGGUAUGUUUCUCAGGCUCAUGGGCACCAUCAUCUUUAGUUUGAAGAGAAGUUUUUCCACUAACAUGUAGAUCAUUUUUCUGGAUAGUUGGUACAGAGUAUUCAACAUUAUCCUUUUGCUGCAUAACAGUAUCAAUAUCCACAAUAGGAACAUCAGAGCUAGUGUCUUGCGAGGUUGAUGCGGAGCUAGGAAUAUGUAUUGUUAAACUUCCCUCACCUUGUAUAGUUUGAGAAGUGUUAUAUUUAAUAUUAUUCCUUCCUCUUACAAAUCACAGAUAUAUGCAUGGAUGGACAAAUUAGACAAAUGGAUUUGAUAUUAUUUCUCUUUACACACCUUAUGAUGAACUGUUAAACCCCUCGACCAGCGGUUUUAACUAUUUUCUUUAACCAUUUUGUUUUUAGGUGAAUCUUAUUUUAGACUAUGAAAUCCAAAGCACUUAUCCAUUUGUUUUUCACUGUAAUGACCAAAAAAAACAAACUCACACAAUUAUCAAAAAAAUCCAGCAAGGUCCAACAAAAAAAACUAACCUCCAAAAGUCUUUAUAAAUUGAUCACCAUUCACAUUUCAAGCAACCAAAACACAAGAAACAGCCAAAAAACAUGUCGACUUCUAAAACCAUUGCCCUCACUCUAUUCCUCGCGACAACACUAUUCGCGUCCUGCAACGCAGCCGCAAACGCCACAACCAAACCUCUAUUCCCAGCCAUUCUAAUCUUCGGCGACUCAACCGUGGACACAGGCAACAACAACUACCCUCUAAACACAAUCUUCAGAGCUACACAUUUUCCCUACGGCAUUGACCUCCCAGACCACAAAGCCAACGGGAGAUUCUCAAACGGGAAACUAAUCCCCGACAUACUCGCAGGCAAAUUCAACAUCAAACAGUUUGUUCCUCCUUUCUUACAACCAAACCUCUCCGACCAAGAGAUUGUAACCGGAGUCUGUUUUGCAUCAGCCGGUUCGGGUUACGAUGACCUAACCAGCCUCUCCACUCAGGCCAUUCCCGUCUCGGAACAACCCAAGAUGUUCAGGAAUUACAUUGCUCGUCUUAAGAGUAUCGUGGGAGACAAGAAAGCUAUGGAGAUUAUAAACAACGCUUUGGUGGUUAUAAGCGCAGGGACUAACGAUAUGGUCUUGAAUUUUUACACCAUUCCUACAAGGCGUCUUGAGUUUCCUUUUAUCUCUGGUUACCAUGAAUUUAUACUUAAGAGGCUUUAUGGUUUCAUCGGGGUAAGGCUUCAAACAUGUUCUCAAAUCAUAAGUGAAACCCAAAAGUUUUGCUAAUCUUUUUUGAUGUGUUCUAUGUGCAGGAGCUUUAUAGUUUAGGUGCCCGGAACAUUGCGAUCGCAGGUUUACCUCCGAUUGGUUGUUUACCGAUUCAAAUGACUGCUAAGUUCCGCAACAUCUUUAGGUUCUGCUUAGAACAAGAGAACAAAGACUCUGUGGUAUACAAUCAGAAACUUCAAAAGCUAUUACCUCAGUUCCAAUCAUCGCAUACUGGAAGCAAGAUCUUUUACGCUGAUAUAUACAACCCUAUUUUUGACAUGAUGCAAAACCCUAGCAAAUAUGGUAUAGACACAAUAUUUUCUUGUGCCACAAGUUUUCCUGUAUUGAGCACUAUGAUCUCACUCAUGUGGAAUUUUUUAUAUUUAAAACAGGGUUUACAGAGACGAAGAGAGGAUGUUGUGGAACAGGGUUUUUGGAGACGAGUUUCAUGUGUAAUGUUUUCUCUCCAUCGUGUCCGAAUCACUCUGAGUUUUUGUUCUUUGACUCCAUUCAUCCAUCAGAAGCUACCUAUAAUUACAUAGGAGACUUGCUCGAUACUCAGGUCCGUGAGUGGAUUGCGGCUUAAGUCAUCAUCACAUAUUUGUAAAAACAAAAGUAUUUAUUUGUUUUCAAUGCUAAUAUUGUAUUAAUGUACUUUAUAUUUGCUAUCCAAAAAUAUUGCGAAUGGAGUUCUACUUUUUGUAGAAUCUUUCCAAGUAUUGAAAUGCUUUGGCAGAUUCUUGAAGUAGAAACUUAGCACUUGAGCCUACGAAUCUCCUUGGUAAUGACAUGCUAAUGUGUUUUGAACCUUAAUACAAAUCAUCUCCCUAAUCUAAACAAAAAGCUACUGAAACUGUAAACUACAAACAUACAUAGUCUCUCCUGAUUCAUCUCCAUUACACACCAUACCUCCUUAAGGCUUUGCUUAAACUCGGCAUCACAUUGUAUGCAUGCUAAAGAUCGUCUGUUCAAUAAUGGAGCGAACCUAUAACCCAAUCAAUAGAGAUGUCAACGAAAAAUGAAGUUGGUACUGUUUAAUGUUUGAUGUAUGAAAUGGGAAUUGUGAACGGAAUGAUAUUGAAAAGCGGAAAGGACUCUUUGACGUUUUUGAGGAAGCUAAACCUGUGCUUCUAGUUUAUUUGUAUUCUAACAGUGUGACGAAAAACUACUUUGAGAAUCUGGUGAAAGCUCUGGAGAACGGUCUUGCUGAUGUAGACUCGCACGCAGCUUGCAGCAGCAAAUCAACGAGCUCUAAAUCAACAGCUUGCAGUAGCAAAACAAGAGGUAAAGGCAAAGGCAGUUCCAGAUCCAGCAGAAACCAAGAUGACAACUGAUAAUAUAUUAUCUCACGUCCUCGUUAAGGUAUAAAACCCGAAUUGGUCUUAACAUUACAUCCAGCAGUUUCUUCAGACAUUUGGAGAAUGCAGAUGAUCAAAGUGAAGCUCUAGUUCGUCUCUCAUGUGGGUGUGAGCGUUUGAUUUGUAGGGUUUGUGAUACGGUUCCUUCUUAUGUAUAGUGUAAAAGAAUGUGUAUGUGUUAUCUUUACACACGUUGUAACUUCACUUCUGUCAUCUGCUCUGCUAUGGCAACUUCUGUGAAACCAAACCUAGUGAACUCUUGCGUCUGGUUUUAAAGAAAAAAGAAGCAAAUGGUACAUGCUUUGUGUUUGGCUUUUCCUGAUCCUAUAUGUUUGCAAUACUAUAUUCAAGUUACAUCUCAAGAAAUUGUUAGCUGUUUAAUUGUUACAACUUUAUAUCCAAAUUUGAUACAAGAGUUCUCUACUUGUUGCAGCUCAAAAAAGUUUACACAAUUUACAAGAACAAAACCAGAUUACACAAAGGAUUCUUACAUUAAAAAUUUGCUCAAUUCCCUAAAUCUACCCUAAUUUUCAGUCUAAUUUACUCAAACACCAACCAUUCAAUCAGAUUACACAAAGCAUACAAUCAAAUCGUCACAACAAAAUCCAACCAAUCCCCAAAACAGACAAGAUUGAUCGAGAAUGACAAAAAAUUCAUCCAACUCUGAAAACAGAAGACAGAGGAGGAACACAUACCUGAUUUUGAUUGGAAGCGGCGGAGAAGGUUUGUAUAUGAGGACAGAGCGGUGUGGAUUGAGCGACAACAGAUCGGGAGAGAAGAGGGAGACGAUGAAAACGAGAAAGACCGUAAUAAGAUUCGGUCUUCCUUUCAGAGGCUGACACGUGCACUUAAGGACUAGCAUAAAAACUUCUUAAUUAGCAAACGUCCCUCUCCUUUUUCUUUAUUAUUGAUUUAAAUUAAAUGAUUAUUAUGCUAAGAUAUGUCCAUAAGGACGGCGAUAAUCGUGCUCUAAGAUCAAGAUAAAAACAGGCAGAAAACAUCAGAAACCCAAACCACGAUGACGUGGCGAUUUGCUGCAUUAUUACUGGAUGAAUUUACAUGCUGAUGUGGACCCCCUCAGAGGGCUUUAUAUUUGGCUUUUAGUAUAGUUUAGAUUAUAAGAAAACAAUAUAUAUUUUCGAUAAUCAAAUCAUUUGUAUGGGGUAUUGAUUGUUGAGUGAUCUUUAUUGGAAAAUAGUUUAGACUACAAUCUUAAGAAAAAUGUAUAUGAUGGCUGACCUUUAUUGGCUGUAAAUGUGAGGGAUGGGAGAAGAGAGUUGACUUUUGGAAUCAGUUCAUGCAUGUAAACUUGGGAGCAAAGCAUGGACGAUUGACACUUAGUGCUCAGCGUGCGACACUGACGGAUCUUGUCCAUACUAGCCGACCAAUAACGUUCAUAAUCAAUUUUUUACUGCUUAACCAAUCUAAAGUUAUCUGUUAAACCGGUUUAGAGGGUUCAAGAGUUCCGCUGAAUUCGUGAAAGAAUGUGGCUUUAAAAAUUAAAUAUUUUGUGACACAAAAAUUAUUAAGUGGAAUUUAAGAAUAUUUAUCUAGUUAUUAAUACUAAAGACAACAGUUAAUGACAAGAAACAUGUCAGAAUCUAAGAAGCACGUUGUUGCCUUGCUGCUGAAGAAACCCAGUGUCCGUUAACCAAAUCAAAAUGCCUUCUGAGACGUUCAAGUGGGUACUCGCACACAUCAUUGGUCGUGGGAAAGUAAACGGAGAACAUAUCGCCUUUUUGUCCGAUGAUCUCUCCGAACCACCACGCGUCUAAGUCGAAAGCAUCAACCUUAUCAUGACGUCUAAACGUUGACGGCUGAAAUAAUUUGGGUGGCAUCGGACGGAUUUCGUCAGCGGAGAUGAUUUCGAUCAAUGGCAUAGGGUCUUCACCUUCUGUCACAAGGUUCUUGUACUUAACCUUGUAGAAGGAGCCGCAGGGAAGCUUGGACAGUACCUUGGCCUCGAAGUAAGACCCGAAAAAACCAUCUUGUUUGCUGCAUACUUCAACUUUAUCUCCUUUCACGAACUCCUCUUCCAUUGUUAAAGAAUGUUUAUCACUGAUUUUGUGUUUUAUUUGUGAAGAUACAAGAAGAGGGGUUGUGUGUAUUUAUAAAGAGUUUGUUUCCUUUUUUGUAAUUUCCUUUUUAGUUUCGAACUGCUUGUUGUUUCCUUUUCUUCUCUGUUUUUUUUUGUUUCAUUUGUUGGAUUAAGCUUGAAGAAAAAAAGAAACUUGAGAAAUAAGUUAACUUCUAAUCCUACCGAGUUAUGGUUUAAAGGAUUAGGAAAAUAUCCAAAUAUGUUAUACCUAAUGAGUUUAGGAAAUUUGAGAUAUAUAUAAGGAGAUGCAAGUAUGUUGCAUAACUUAUGAGUUUUGUGAUUGUGUGAGAGCUUGAGGUUUUUGAGUGAGUUUUCCUCAAGAGAUUAAUAAGAGAGUUAUUCUUAUUAUUGAGUUUAUACAAUUCGAGAUUCUAUAUCAUUUUCGUAAUUAAAUGGAAAUUAAAUGAUUAGGCAAUGAGGAGGCGUAUUAUUCUAUUGACAAUCUAAUGUACAUGAAAUUUUAUUGAUAAUCUAAUGUACAUGAAAGUGACUGUAUCGUCACUGGUUAUCUUAUAUUUUACAAUUAAGGCAUAAUUGAUAAUUUUGGCAAAUAUUACUAAAAAGCAUGUGUAAUGAGAUUCUCAAUCUCAAUCUCAAUCUAAAUCGAAAUAUAAAUAUUUUAUAUUCUAAUAAUGAAUCUCUCAAAAUAAUAAGAAAACUACACUAAAAUAUUUUUAUUUUUAUUUGAAUAUUCAAUAUCAUUAAUUCUAAUAUAUUUUAUUUUAUUACAUUUUGAGACAUUUUUAAUACUAUACCCAAGGAAAAUAAGUAAACGUUUGUUGAAAACGCUAAAACGCCGUUAAAAAUAAAUUACAAAAGAAAAAGGAAACGGCAACGCUGAACGCUUCAUAAAACUCGUACAAUAACAGUCCUAAACCCUUUGUUUAGAUCUCAAAGCCCUAAAAUCGCAAUUCUACCAGUCUUCUUCGCCCCGCCGCCUCUCCCUACUACUCUCACCGGAGAAUGAGUUCCCCCGCCGCUCCUCCACCGUUAUACCACUCGAAAAUCGACGCAAAGAACGUCAACAGAGCCUUAAAGUCUCUCCUAAAAUGGCGUGACUCCAAAUCCAACCCACAGAACUCAUCAGAGCCCCUCGAUAACAACAACAACAGCGACGACGGCGGCUUCGUCUACCUAGUCGUAACCCUAAAGAAGCCUCCUCAAAUCGACCGCACCAAUCCGAUAACGAUCCCUCUCCCUCACCCUCUAAUCGACUUAAUCGACUCCCCUCCGGAGCUUUGCCUAAUCAUCGACGACAAGCACAAGAACAAAAUCACGAAGGAGACGGCUCUGAAGAAGAUCGAAGCGGAUAACGUCCCGAUCACGACGGUGAUCAAGGUCUCGAAGCUGAAGGCGGAGUUGAAGAAGCUGGAGGCGGAGGAAGGGAGGCGCCACGAGCUCUUCUUCGCGGAGAGGAGGCUGAUGCCGAUCUUGCCGAAGCUUCUGGGGAGGGAGUUUGUUAAGAGGAAGAAGAGUCCGAUCGCGAUUAACUUGAGGAGCGGGAACUGGAAGGAGCAGGUUGAGAGAGUUUGUGAAUCGGCUUUGGUCUACGUGGGAACGGGGACGUGUAGCGUUGUGAAGGUGGCGAAGUUGUCUAUGGGGAGGAAGGAGAUUGCGGAGAAUGUUGUGGCGGUUAUGGAGGGGAUCGCGGGUUCGAUUCCUGGGAAGUGGAGGAAUGUUAAGUUGUUUCAUUUGAAGUUGCUUGAAAGCUUGGCUUUGCCGGUUUAUGAAUCAGUUUGAGAUAUGGAGAGCUAUUGAAUGUUUUGGUUGGUUACAAGUUUUUGGGUUAAUUUUAGUGGAGUUUUCUCUUAUAUGAUGUGGCUGAAAGUGUUUAGAUUAUGCCGAGAUUGAACUGAACAGAACCAUUACAAUGCAACAUGUGAUUUGAAUGCAGAAAAAACACUUCCUUUUCAGGUAGACGUAACAAAUCACAUAGAAUGGCUUUAGAGAUUACAUUUUUGUUAUGUAUAUGAAAGAAUCAAACUUUCAUACUUUAUUUGAACGACUUUGUAUCCAAAAGUGAAUGUUAAUUUGUCCAGUCAAAUUCUUUCAAAAAAAAAAAAAUUUGUCCAGUCAAAAACUUGUUCACUAGAGCUGCGUUUCAUCUCAUGCUCAUACGCUAAAAACUUGUUCAUAAACUCAAUUCCGACACUUUCCUACCAAAAAGUUACCGAGUUGAAACCACUUUAACUUCCAGACUCAGUGUUUAAUCUGUAUGUUUGUCAGUAGAGCUUGGGAGUUCGUGUAUUGAAUCAAAGAUAAAACCUCUGUAACAACUAAAACGAAUGAGCAUGUAACAAAACAGAAAAAGGGUUUGUACUUUGCAACAUAAGUAUUAUGAAAAAUGACUUUGUAAAUUAUAAUUCUUUUUGUGAACAAAGCAGUGUGAUGAAAAACCAAUCAUUAACACUUCAUAAAUGGUGAAAGCAAAAAAAAAAAAAUUUUACAGAAUAAAUCUAAUGUUUUUUUUUUUUUGAAAAAGGGCUUUCAUAUUAAAAAAAACGAUAAAUGUUACAAGAUAAGACAUGAGUCUUAUAGUUUGAUAAAGUUUGCAUGAAAAGAUUGAAUCUCAACCAAUGAAACAACCAAAGUUGAGACUAGAAUAACCAACACCGUAAUGAAAGGCAAUAACUAGUGAUAAGAACCACGACCGCGGCGGCCACGCUUCCCUCUCCCUUGAACCGUCUUCCAUUCCAUGUCUUGGUAUUUGCUAGGGGGUUUUGUUUCCCUCCCACCUCUUGUCAAGCUGAGCGAGCUAGAAGGCUCGGUCCCAUCUUCAUCCACUCCCACAUCUCUUGACCCUUUGAACUGAGCAGGGCUCUCAAAUGCAAAGGGUGUAUGUGUUGUGGCUUGAGGACCAACGACUAAAGUUUCACUAACCUCAGUGUUGGUAACGGUUGAUGGAGAUGACUCCAUAAUAGAUGCUGCAGUGGGAAUAGGUUGUGAAUCUACUAAAGUGGGUAAAGUGGGGAUAAAGUUUGGCGAGGCAGUCGGGUUCUCCUGUUGAAGGGUAGGAGUAGCUUCUAGUUCAGAUAAGAGACCUUCAAUCUCUAUGGUAUGUUUCUCAGGCUCAUGGGCACCAUCAUCUUUAGUUUGAAGAGAAGUUUUUCCACUAACAUGUAGAUCAUUUUUCUGGAUAGUUGGUACAGAGUAUUCAACAUUAUCCUUUUGCUGCAUAACAGUAUCAAUAUCCACAAUAGGAACAUCAGAGCUAGUGUCUUGCGAGGUUGAUGCGGAGCUAGGAAUAUGUAUUGUUAAACUUCCCUCACCUUGUAUAGUUUGAGAAGUGUUAUAUUUAAUAUUAUUCCUUCCUCUUACAAAUCACAGAUAUAUGCAUGGAUGGACAAAUUAGACAAAUGGAUUUGAUAUUAUUUCUCUUUACACACCUUAUGAUGAACUGUUAAACCCCUCGACCAGCGGUUUUAACUAUUUUCUUUAACCAUUUUGUUUUUAGGUGAAUCUUAUUUUAGACUAUGAAAUCCAAAGCACUUAUCCAUUUGUUUUUCACUGUAAUGACCAAAAAAAACAAACUCACACAAUUAUCAAAAAAAUCCAGCAAGGUCCAACAAAAAAAACUAACCUCCAAAAGUCUUUAUAAAUUGAUCACCAUUCACAUUUCAAGCAACCAAAACACAAGAAACAGCCAAAAAACAUGUCGACUUCUAAAACCAUUGCCCUCACUCUAUUCCUCGCGACAACACUAUUCGCGUCCUGCAACGCAGCCGCAAACGCCACAACCAAACCUCUAUUCCCAGCCAUUCUAAUCUUCGGCGACUCAACCGUGGACACAGGCAACAACAACUACCCUCUAAACACAAUCUUCAGAGCUACACAUUUUCCCUACGGCAUUGACCUCCCAGACCACAAAGCCAACGGGAGAUUCUCAAACGGGAAACUAAUCCCCGACAUACUCGCAGGCAAAUUCAACAUCAAACAGUUUGUUCCUCCUUUCUUACAACCAAACCUCUCCGACCAAGAGAUUGUAACCGGAGUCUGUUUUGCAUCAGCCGGUUCGGGUUACGAUGACCUAACCAGCCUCUCCACUCAGGCCAUUCCCGUCUCGGAACAACCCAAGAUGUUCAGGAAUUACAUUGCUCGUCUUAAGAGUAUCGUGGGAGACAAGAAAGCUAUGGAGAUUAUAAACAACGCUUUGGUGGUUAUAAGCGCAGGGACUAACGAUAUGGUCUUGAAUUUUUACACCAUUCCUACAAGGCGUCUUGAGUUUCCUUUUAUCUCUGGUUACCAUGAAUUUAUACUUAAGAGGCUUGAUGGUUUCAUCGGGGUAAAGCUUCAAACAUGUUCUCAAAUCAUAAGUGAAACCCUAAAGUUUUGCUAAUCUUUUGCGAUGUGUUCUAUGUGCAGGAGCUUUAUAGUUUAGGUGCCCGGAACAUUGCGAUCGCAGGUUUACCUCCGAUUGGUUGUUUACCGAUUCAAAUGACUGCUAAGUUCCGCAACAUCUUUAGGUUCUGCUUAGAGCAAGAGAACAAAGACUCUGUGGUAUACAAUCAGAAACUUCAAAAGCUAUUACCUCAGUUCCAAUCAUCGCAUACUGGAAGCAAGAUCUUUUACGCUGAUAUAUACAACCCUAUUUUUGACAUGAUGCAAAACCCUAGCAAAUAUGGUAUAGACACAAUAUUUUCUUGUGCCACAAGUUUUCCUGUAUUGAGCACUAUGAUCUCACUCAUGUGGAAUUUUUUAUAUUUAAAACAGGGUUUACAGAGACGAAGAGAGGAUGUUGUGGAACAGGGUUUUUGGAGACGAGUUUCAUGUGUAAUGUUUUCUCUCCAUCGUGUCCGAAUCACUCUGAGUUUUUGUUCUUUGACUCCAUUCAUCCAUCAGAAGCUACCUAUAAUUACAUAGGAGACUUGCUCGAUACUCAGGUCCGUGAGUGGAUUGCGGCUUAAGUCAUCAUCACAUAUUUGUAAAAACAAAAGUAUUUAUUUGUUUUCAAUGCUAAUAUUGUAUUAAUGUACUUUAUAUUUGCUAUCCAAAAAUAUUGCGAAUGGAGUUCUACUUUUUGUAGAAUCUUUCCAAGUAUUGAAAUGCUUUGGCAGAUUCUUGAAGUAGAAACUUAGCACUUGAGCCUACGAAUCUCCUUGGUAAUGACAUGCUAAUGUGUUUUGAACCUUAAUACAAAUCAUCUCCCUAAUCUAAACAAAAAGCUACUGAAACUGUAAACUACAAACAUACAUAGUCUCUCCUGAUUCAUCUCCAUUACACACCAUACCUCCUUAAGGCUUUGCUUAAACUCGGCAUCACAUUGUAUGCAUGCUAAAGAUCGUCUGUUCAAUAAUGGAGCGAACCUAUAACCCAAUCAAUAGAGAUGUCAACGAAAAAUGAAGUUGGUACUGUUUAAUGUUUGAUGUAUGAAAUGGGAAUUGUGAACGGAAUGAUAUUGAAAAGCGGAAAGGACUCUUUGACGUUUUUGAGGAAGCUAAACCUGUGCUUCUAGUUUAUUUGUAUUCUAACAGUGUGACGAAAAACUACUUUGAGAAUCUGGUGAAAGCUCUGGAGAACGGUCUUGCUGAUGUAGACUCGCACGCAGCUUGCAGCAGCAAAUCAACGAGCUCUAAAUCAACAGCUUGCAGUAGCAAAACAAGAGGUAAAGGCAAAGGCAGUUCCAGAUCCAGCAGAAACCAAGAUGACAACUGAUAAUAUAUUAUCUCACGUCCUCGUUAAGGUAUAAAACCCGAAUUGGUCUUAACAUUACAUCCAGCAGUUUCUUCAGACAUUUGGAGAAUGCAGAUGAUCAAAGUGAAGCUCUAGUUCGUCUCUCAUGUGGGUGUGAGCGUUUGAUUUGUAGGGUUUGUGAUACGGUUCCUUCUUAUGUAUAGUGUAAAAGAAUGUGUAUGUGUUAUCUUUACACACGUUGUAACUUCACUUCUGUCAUCUGCUCUGCUAUGGCAACUUCUGUGAAACCAAACCUAGUGAACUCUUGCGUCUGGUUUUAAAGAAAAAAGAAGCAAAUGGUACAUGCUUUGUGUUUGGCUUUUCCUGAUCCUAUAUGUUUGCAAUACUAUAUUCAAGUUACAUCUCAAGAAAUUGUUAGCUGUUUAAUUGUUACAACUUUAUAUCCAAAUUUGAUACAAGAGUUCUCUACUUGUUGCAGCUCAAAAAAGUUUACAAAUGACACCAUUAUUGAUGCUACUAAAACUUAAUAAAUUGAAUGAUUUUUUUCUAUUCUCUCUUUUGAUUUUUUUUAUUCUCCAUUGUUCUCAAAUUUAAGCACAUUUUCUUUGUGACUUGUAGCACCAAAAACAAACACAAUAAAAAGAAAAUCGAAAGAUCAUUCUUUCUUCUUUAGUUUCUUAGACCUGAUGGUCUAUAGGUUUUGGAAUGAACAAGCUCCAUUGAUUUGUUCUUGGGAGCAUCAAGUAGCUUAGCUUUCUUCCUUGCUAAAGGGAACUCCAUGGAAUAAGACUUGGGACCAUUGUCCCCAACAUCUUCUUUGAACAUCUUUAUGCUCAAAGCAUUUAACAACGCCCUUGAGUACUGCCUAGACGCCAUCUUCCAGUCUGUUCCUGAUUUCAUCAUGGCCCUAAACUCAUCAAAGCUUAUCCUCCCAUCCUGUCACCAACCAAACAUGUUAGGAACCUCACAUGAAUCGGUUAAGUGUGAUUAUGUUUCAUUUACCUUGUUGAGGUCAACGUCAAAGAAGAUAUCUUUGAUCCACUGGUCACCACCAUGGCCUAGCUUAUCAUCAUCGAAUAGAGCUUCUUUGAGCUCAUCUAGCUCAAUAGACCCGUUACCGUUCUUGUCAAAAUACUUGAAUGCUUGCUGCAAAUGCUCAUCACAACCCAUUCUCUUCAAGUGUAUGGCUAGUGUCACAAACUCUUCACAGCUCAACGUCCCGUUUCCAUCUGUAUCAGCUGCAUCCAUAAGCAUCUUCACGUCGCCAUCGGGACAAACUUGUCCAAUCUUCUUCAGACCAUCUCUUAGCUCCUCAAAAGUCAAGUGUCCGUUCUUAUCAGUGUCCAUUGUCUGAAACAUUUGUAUUAUCGAUUCUAUCUCCUCGUUUGGUAGAUUGUCAGCUACUACCUGUAAAAAUUUGAAGGAUCAGUUACAAAAUUUAUAGAGUAGUAAAAGUAAAAUUAAUCAAGAAACUGUAUAUACCCUGAGGACUUUCUUCUUGAACCUGUUCAUCAACAAGAACUGUUGAAUCUUGGUCCUCACGCCAUCUCCAAGAUUCACAUUUGGUGCUCUCUCUGCGUUCUGGAUCCAUGGAUGUUCUGUAAUACAUAGUUUUUCCAUCAACUAAUGUCGUUUAUUGAUCGUUUUAUAUAGAUAAUGAAAUGGUAUUAUUAUAAUGAAGUUACCAAGGACUUCUUGAACCGUGAGUCUGCUAUAAGGAUUAGCAUCAAGCAUGUUCUUAACGAGUUCUUUGGCUUCACGUGAGACUUUUGGCCACGGAUCUCUCUCAAAAUCGAUGUUCCCUCUCACAAUUGCAUGAGCUAUUCCUUCCUCAGUCUCUGCCCAAAAGGGAGGCACACCACAAAGCAAGAUGUAGAGUAUAACACCAGCGCUCCAAACAUCGAUCUCCGGACCGUAGUUUCUUCUCAAAACCUCUGGUGCCAUGUAAUAAGGACUCCCCACAAUCUCAUUGAACCGCUGGGCUGCAAUAACCAUCCGUUUAAAGCAUAAUUUUUUCUCAAAAACUGUUUGUGAUGUAAUACUAUGGAGAUGUGGUUUUAGUACCUGGUUUGAAGAAAAUGGAGAGACCAAAGUCAAUAGCUUUGAGUUGUGCAGUCUCGGUUUCGUUAGAAAAGAGGAAGUUCUCAGGCUUAAGAUCUCUAUGGAUCACUCCAUGUUCAUGACAUACCUUGAGACACAAGAAAACAACAAUAAAGGCGGGAAAAAAACAAAAGAUACAAAGGAGAUUUGAAUUUUUUUCACACACCUUGACAACUUCAAGAAUGGUUUUAGCGACGGAUGCAGCGGCGCGUUCAGUGUAAUGACCUCGAGAGACAAUACGGUCAAAAAGCUCACCUCCUUCACAAAUCUCCAUGACAAGAUAAACCGCGUCUUUGUCCUCAAAAGCUUCCUUAAAGCUAACAAUGUUUGCAUGUUUUGGUAAAGAUCUCAUGAUCUCAACCUCUCUUCUCACAUCCUCAACGUCUAUCUCCGUCCUUAGCUUCUCCUUUGAUAUCCUCUUACACGCAAACCUGCUCAUAUUUGUUCCAUGAAAUCAAACAAAACAAAACAAAACAGUUUUUGCAAAAAAAGACAAACUUUCAAGAUUUCUAUUAUGUUAUCUGCCAGGUCCGAAACCACAACAUGUAUUAAAAAAAAAGAAUAUACCUUUCUCGAGUACUGAUCUCAAUACAUUCAUGAGUGACACCAAACUCACCACGGCCUAGUUCUUUCCCGAGCUCAUACUUGAGGAAGAUUCCAUCACCAAUGGGCUCGGGGAGAACACGGCUCGGUGGCUGGAAAAUCAAGAAAGAGUACUUGUCGAAGAAGUAUCGGUUUUAGGGUUAGAGGAUGUUUUGGUGCUACUACUGUUGUUUCGCCUUCUUGCAGGUCUCUUCCCAAAGGGAGAACCUUUCAAUGGCGACGAAACACAGCUUCCCAUGGGAUUUUUUUUUUCUUGGGUUUUGUUUGGAAUUAAUAUCCAAAAAACCACGAAUGAUCGAUGAAUGUACAAUCGAUCAAGCGAUUUUUUUCAAGAAGGAGAUUUAUUCAAAUGCACCCCAUGGGAAGGAAGAGAGAAGCUUUUGUGCUCAAGUUUCUUUUGUUAUUUUUUACUUUUUUUGUUUAUCUAAAUCUUUUUCUUAGGGGCUUCUGUCUUAUUCUUGUGAUAUUCUUGUGUGUUUCGUGUUUUCUAUGUUUAUUUGUUGCUUGUUUGAAAGAAAGAGGAAAGUCCUAAAAGAUUGGAUGGAUGGAGACUUCUUUCUAUAUUUGGUUUAUGACAGUCUGUUUGGUUAAGUUUUCUUUUUCAAAAAUUCGUUAACUUUCUUGCCGUUACUCCCGCCAUUUUCCAUGCGUCUUAAGAUAAGGGAUGAUCCAAACAUCACCCUUUCUAAAGUAUAUAUAUAAUUAAAUAUAUGUUCGUCUAUCAACUAUGAUAAAUUAUAUGCAUAAUCAGAAUAAUCCAUCUAAUUUUUUUUGCUCAAAUUAUAUAUUUAAUCAUAAUUUCAAAAAUUGCUUUAUUGUAUAUUUAGUAUCAAAAUUGAUUAAACAUUGGUUCCCCCUUUCCUUUUAGUUUUGACUAUGGAUGGGUUUGUCCUGAUCUCAAGAGGACUUGUAAGACUAUUUUCUAAAUCCUUGUCUUGUUGAACCAGUUUAACUAAAACAGAAUUUACAGACUAAUUAUAUCAAUAAAUUUGUUUUUUUUUCUCAUAAGUUUGUUAGAUAAUUGGAAAGUUUGUGAAAACAAUGAUGAAAUAGUAUACUGAAAAACUGGGAAAACUACCAAAUAUUUGCAAUCUGCUAAACAAUGAUAUAUUGGCAUACUAAAAUCUAAACUUCCUAAAUUUAACAAACCUUUUAUCAAACCAGUGAAAAAGAUAGAAAUUUAACUCAUCAUCUUUAAGACUGAGAUUAUUAAGAGUUACUUGGACAUCCAUGAGCGUUAAAUUUUGAAAAUUCAAAGUAUGAUCUUGUUCCUCUUUCAUCAUGGUGUUUAAGAUCUAAGCAAGCAGAUCUACAAAACGAUAAUAGCAUAUGCUAAAUUGAGGUCAAAAGUAAUGUCAAAAUGGCAAAGUUAAGUGUUUUUAUUUGCCAACAAGAAUGCAAAAUGUUUAUAAUGAACAUUUUGAAACAGAAAAUAUAAUCCUUCAGACGUUCCUUCUUUUAUUCUGAAUAAACUGCAGAAAACUGGGUUCUAGCAUCAGCUUCUUGAUAGUUUGACAGUGCAGAGAGUGGUGUUGCAAAGAACCUUAUAGGAACUUUCUAUGUGGUCUGCCUGCAUCUUCGUCUUGCAUAUGCUGUCAAACAAUUCAAGUUGUGAGUAUGUUAGCCUGACUGUGAAACACAAGAUAUCACUAAACUGUGUGGCAAGGCAACUAGUGACACAUAUAUCCUUAUUCGUAUUAAUCGUCAUUGAAAACUCCAACUAACAAGGAAUCACAUAAGUGUGUCCCUUGCACCAAUCCAUAUUCAAGAGCUCAUAAUUCAUAAACAAAAAAUGGAGUAAUAAAAAACCAAUGAGGACUGUAGCAAGAAACUGUUAAGAUUCAGAAAACACCACCAGAAACAGAUUAACUAGUUUUAGCUAAAAACAUUGAGGCUUCAAGAGGAGCAAUCAAAUCACAGUAACCGAACCAUCAUCAUCUAAGAGAUGAAAAUUGUUGCAUUUUCAGAAUCCGAUCGUUCCACCAGAAUAAUAACUGAUCUGAUAAUCUAUCAUAUUCAUACGAAUCGAGUGAGAUUGAGAGAAAGGAAGAGAGGGAUUGAACUGACGAAAUCUUUGACGACGCCCUUGUAGACGAGGAUGGGGAGAGCGAUGCCGAAGAUUCCGGUGAGAGCGAAGUUGCGACGUGUCCAUCGGAAGUUAUGCUCGAGAUUCUCCCUGGCGGAUCCCCAAUCCUCUAUGAACUUGUUCUUGUUCGUCUCCAUUCCUCCUCCCAUCUUCGCUUUCUCGAUUCCACCCUUUCUCUUCUUUUUAGUUUCUCUGCGCGAUUCAUCUCAGACUGUGGAGAUAGAUACCGGUUCAAUUAAAAUUAUUUUUGAUUUCGAUCAAUUUACUAAUAAACCGGGCGACAACAAAUGUGAAAGUGACUUAAGCUCAAGGCCCGGCCCAAAGUUUCGUUUAAACGAGUUUACAUCAAUUUACAAGUUAGGCACUCCCGCGUAAAAUUUAAAAUUGUUCAAGAUUUUACGAAACUAAUACGGGGAAAACAUUACAUACGAAUACGAUUGAUUCUUGAAUUUUUCACAAACUGAUAUAUGUUUCCUUAAUUAGAAAGUUUGAACUGUGAGAAGAGAAUCUAAAGAACGUACUUGGGAUGCCCAGAAGAUCCGACAUCUUUUUGUUGAGGAAGAUGCUACUGUGAUCUUGGGAAUGAAGCUAAAUCUUCAGUGGGAAGAUACAAUGGUCUGGGCUUUUGGAACGUAUGAUUCUCAAAGCGGCUAUAAACUACUGAAUCUCAUACAGACAAUUGAGAGUCCAAUGACAGCUUCGAAUCUACCUCCUGUUGAGAGAAACUUGUGGUCUAAUCUAUGGAAGGUGAAAACGCUACCUAAGGUUAGGCACUUCAUGUGGCGUGCACUGGCUGGAGCCUUAGCUGUCUCGGAACGGCUGGCUUCUCGAGGUAUCAAUGUUGAAGCUACUUGUAAGGUAUGUCAGUCUCAACCGGAAAGCAUUUGUCAUGUUCUUUUUCACUGCCCGGUUGCGAAAGAGGUAUGGAGAUUAUCAGGCUUUCCUAUCCCAGCAGCUGGUUUCUCAACCAACUCAGUCUUUCUAAAUUUUCACCACUUGCUCGAAAGUUGCAAGAAACGUCAUUUAGCUGAGAAGACUAGAUUGGUAUUCCCGUGGGUUCUCUGGCAGUUAUGGAAAUCUAGGAACCGCUGUGUGCUCGAACAUGUAGUUUUUGGAGCUAAGGAAGUAUGGGAGAGAAUCCAAGUAGAGGCGGAAGCUUGGAGAGCGGCUAACGUGACGGACAAGGAAGAUAGGGACCAAGAUGCAGUUGGUGAUUCUAUAUCAACGUGGCAAAAACCGUGCCCAAGCUUUGUUAACUGUAACAUUGGGUCGUCUUGGGUUGAUGGAAACCAGAAUUGUGGUGUUGCUUGGGUGACAAGGAAUCAUGCUGGAGCAGCCUUAGCCCAUAGCCGUCGCUCAUAUUCUCAUGUCUCGUCAUCCUUAGAGGCUGAGCUCCUGGGUUUUUAUUGGGCAUCUGAAAGUGUCUCGACGAUGAGAUAUGAAAAGGUGGUGUUUGAGUCCACGUCGUACCUGGCGGGAGAAGCAAUUUUAAAGCCUGGAAACUUCUCUCAAUGGCUCAGUCUGAUAGAAGCUAUAAGAGAGAAAUUGUCCCUGCUCAGGUUGUGGUCCAUUUCAUAUGUUCACAGAGAGGCGAACAGAUGUGCCGAUGCUAUUGCUCUCAGUGUCACAAGAGAUCACCGCUACGCGUCCUACAUAGCUACGGAUUGCCCUGGGUGGCUACUGCCCAUUGUACGUGAGGAUGUGAGGAUGAGAGUGGGAUAUUCAGUGCGCAUUAGCUUGGGUUGCGGCGGUACGGAUUCAUGACAGGCUUGUGAUACUUCCUUCGCAACUGCGAGUUGUAUGGGAGCGGAGUGCUGUUGUUUGCUUUAUGUUGUUCGGUUUUUAUUUGAGUGUGGGGUCCUGUUGGUAUCUUCCACACUCUGUUUUUCUCUGUUUUUUUUGGCUUUCAUUCAUUCCUUGUAGCCCAAACCAUCACGUUUUACUCACAAAGUGUUAAAAAAAAAGAACGUAUUUGCGUCACUUGGAUUAAUUCUCAGUUUCUCUCCAGCGCUCUCUUUACAUUUCCAUAUGCAUAGACAUCGCCCCGUUCAACACGUUGCUAUCUCUGAGAAAUUCACUUAUCUCGUUCUGGUUCAUAGUAAAGAUGAGCAUCUUACUUUAUUGUUGCACGGCCACACAUUGCUUUCCUUAUAUAUUCUGUGACUUUUACCUCUUGACUCUUUCUAAUUCUCAGAAUAAAAGAAAGAACAAACUUAGUGCUUGGUGUGUCUGCAUAAUUCUUAUUAAUGUAAACAUAAUUCAUUCUUAUUACAUCAACGUAUCAAAAAAAAAAAAAAAAAAAACGUAUCAAGAAUGUUUAAAGAGUAUAAAUAAAUCUUUAUUAAAAAACAUACUUAUAUCAAUUUCAAAUAGUUGACAUUUUCUUGUUUUUUUUUAAUUGAGAGAGAAUGGCAUGAAUCUUUCCUGCAUUUUCCGUCUCUGUGUUUUUUUUAAUCUCUAAUCACACAAUUAAUAUGUUUAUGUUAUGAUUAGAUACAAAUGAAAAAAAAAAACAGAAUAUAAACGCAGUGCGUUUGAUUACUUCAUAACUUCAUUCUUUUCAAAGUAAAACAAAAAAAAAAACAAAAAAUGCUUUGUAUUUGGUUGUGAAGAUUGAAUGAGUAAAAAUUGAAAACCUGAAAAAUGAGUUUUGCAGGUGGGAGAGAUGGAUCUAAAGGUUUCAUGAAGAGGGUUACAUCAACUUUCUCCACUAAGAAAAACAAGAACACAACAAAUGAUCCCAAACCACUACUUCCUCGGUCCAGAUCAACUGGUUCAAACUAUGAAUCCAUGAGGCUACUUCAUGGUCAGGGGAAAAGGGCUCUUCCAGAUGUUAACACAAAGAGAACCAAAUCUGCUGGUGUCUCUCCUCAGCCGAGGCGUCAAAAGAUCGAUGGAUCCGGGAAACAGUGCACCAAGCUGAGAUGUUUUGAUGACAGCGAUUCCGUUUGGCUGUCUUCGGAUUGCGCUUCUUCCAGCUCUCUUCUAGGGCAACGCAGAGUCUCUGUCUCGUUUCAUUUCUCGCUCGACGAAAGGGUUGUCUCUUGGUUAUCAAAUGCUGCUAAGAAUCAAGAUGACACCAUCUCCACCGAAGAGAGUCAUCAGAAAAGUUCAAAGAAGGCAAAAUAUUCUUCAGAGAGCAACAACAACAAGACUUGUCCAAGUGAAGAGUCAUAUGCGAGUCCUGAGUUGACUUUACAAGAAGACAAGAAAGUUAGCUUCUCUUUAGAAUCAGAGAUGUCUUUGGAGAAAGCUGCAGAGAUUGGUGAUCCCAAGAGGAAGACUGUUGCUGAGCCGCUCUUCUGGCCAUAUGAGCAGAAGUUUGAUUGGACACCAGAUGAUAUAUUGAAGCAUUUCUCCAUAUCACCUCGGAGAAAAAAGUCAACGGGAAAUAAAAGUAAUGGUACCUCUCCAAGAUCAAUGAGGGCACAGCUUCAGACAAGAAAGCUGGUUCUCAAAGAAGGGUGUAAGAGAAAGCUCAUGUUCAAUGGUCCUGGAUCAAGUCCAAAACAAGCACGGAUAAUCGGUAAUAAGAAAACCAAGAUGAGCAAGAACCAACAACAACAACCCAUCAUGAAGAGUUUGAAGAGGAACAAUAGUUUGCCAGCAAGUUUGAAGAGAAACUCGAGGGAGGAGGUACAUGUUCAAGCUGCCGAAGAGAGUGUAGAGAUGUGCAAAAAAACACCUAAGAAGCUUAUCAUGACACGCAGGUCCAGGACUUUCAUAGAAGAUGACUUUGCCUUGAUGAAUGAUUUCUCUAUAGAAAAUGCGGUGGGGCUUUGCGAGUUCAGGGGAAGAGAAGGCAUUGAUUCAGACUUCAACACCGAUGGUUUCUUGUUUGAAGAUGCUCUAUGAAAAAGAAAAAGCCUUUACAGGUUCGAGUCUAUAACAGCAUCUGCACUGUAGAUUAAGGAAUUCGGCUCCGAACCUCCUGGUAUUUUCAAAAAAAAAAGCAUCUGCAUUGGAGACAGUUUUAUUUCAAUAAUUGUGUAUCUAUUGGUACAAGUUUGGGAAUCUCUGAAAUGAGUUUGCGGAGAUAUGGUUUCCCUUCUUCUUGGAAUGUUUUAGCAGAAUAAUCGUUUCCCUUAUAUUAAAGAUUUGCUACAUCUUGCUGUUUCCCUUUUCCUGAAAUAUUUGGUUUUGUGUUUUCAAGUGAGUCAGAGAGAUAUAAUGUGUAUGUUUCUGACCACUCUAAGCAGAGACAAUUGUUAUUGAUAUCUUGUUAUUUGCCAAGAUAAUAUAGAAUGUGUUGAUCUCUUGCAAAUAUCUUAUAGACCAAGUAACUGGCUGGCUUUUAUAAGUGUUUGUGUAAGAAAGAAUUCACAUUAUUGAUUACCAAAAACAUUUAGUUUCAGUGGCUAUAGUCGGAAGGGAGCUUAGGUACACAUAACCAGGUCUACUCCCCUACAGGCUACAUGAUACCACAAUGUUUAAUAAUGUAUGUCACUUUUAAUUAAUUGUAAUGAAAAGAGCAAAGCCUUUGAUAAAAAUGGUUGGAUGAUUUUUAAUGUCAACAUCAUUCCUAUUACAUCAACGUAUCAAGAAUGUUUAAAGAAUAUUCUUAAAAAAAAAAAGAAAUUCAGAAAACGGCAUGAAUCUUUCCUGCAUUUGCCGUUUCUGUUUCUCUAAUCACAAGCUUAAUAUGUUAAUAUUAUGAAUAGACAAAAAAAACAUAAACACAUUAAGAGUUUGAUUACUUCAGAACUUCAUUCUUUUGACAGUAAAACAAAAGAAAAAAAAGCUUUGUAUUUGGUUGUGAAGAUUGAAUGAGUAAAAUCUGAAACCUACAACAUGAGUUUUGCUGGUGGGAGAGAUGGAUCUAAAGGUUUGAUGAAGAGGAUUACAUCAACUUUCUCCACCAAGAAAAAACAGAACACAACAACAAAUGAUCCGAAACCAGUUUUUCCUCGGUCUAGAUCAACAGGUGCUAGCUAUGAAUCCAUGAGGCUGCGUCAGGGGAAAAAGGCUCUUCCUGAUGUCACAGCAAAAAAGACAAAGAGGACCAAAUCUGCAUGUGUCUCCCCUCAAAGAAGACGUGAAAAGAUCGAUGAGUCCAGGAAACAACAGAUUGAAGACAUCGAUUCCAUUUGGUUGACUUCUGAUUCUUCUAGCUCUCUUUUUGGGGAACGUAAAGUAUCUGUCUCGUUUCACUUCUCACUCGACGAAAGCAUCGUCUCUUGGUUAUCAAACGCUGCUAAAAAUCAAGAAGACACCAAAGACAAUCAUCAUCAUCACCAGAAAAGUUCAAAGGAUGCAAAAUAUUCUUCAGAGAACAUACGAAAAGAUGGAAAAUAUGUUGGAACAGAUUCUGCAAAGCCGUGUUCUUCACGUUUACCUGAAAACAACAACAAGACUUGUGAAGAGACAUCUAGUUUCAACAGAUAUGUGAAUCCUGAGUUGACUUCGCAGAGUCAUGAAGAAAAGAAAGUUACCUUCUCACUAGAAUCAGAUGCGUCUCCUUCACAGGUUAUCUCAACUCUUGGGCCAUCUACUCCUCCUAUAACCAUACUAGCAUCAGCUUUAGAGAAAGUUGCGGAGAUUGGAGGUUCAAAGAGAAGGAAUGUUGUGGAGCCGCUUUUCUGGCCAUUGGAGCAGAAGUUUGAUUGGACAACAGAUGAUAUAAUGAAGCAUUUCUCCAUGUCUCCUCAGAGAAAAAAAUAUAUAGGGUCCAAAAGUGCUAGUACCUCUCCAAGAUCAAUGAGGGCACAGCUUCAUACGAGAAAGCUAGAUCUCAAAGAAGGGUGUAAGAGAAAACUCAUGUUCAAUGGUCGGCCUGGAUCAAACUCAAGACUAACACAGAUUCCAGAACUGAAACAGACAAUCAGCAGCGACCAACCACCCAUCAAGAACCGUUUGAAGAGGAACAAAAGUUUGCCAUCAAGGUUGAGAAACUCGAGCGAAAUAUCUUCAAAGGUGGUACCUAUUGAAGCUACAGAAGAGAGUGUAGAGAUAAGCAGAGAGGAAAAAAAAACACCUAAAAAGCUUGUCAUGACUCGUAAGUCCAAAACAUUUUUAGAA
rnacentral:lncRNA from 1 species